UACGUAGGGCGCAAGCGUUAUUCGGAAUCAUUGGGCGUAAAGAGCUCGUAGGCGGUUUGUUGCGUCGGCUGUGAAAUCCCGAGGCUCAACCUCGGGUCUGCAGUCGAUACGAGCAAACUAGAGUGUUGCAGGGGAGACUGGAAUUCCUGGUGUAGCGGUGAAAUGCGCAGAUAUCAGGAGGAACACCGGUGGCGAAGGCGGGUCUCUGGGCAACAACUGACGCUGAGGAGCGAAAGCGUGGGGAGCGAACAGG
rnacentral:rRNA from 1 species